CGACUUCUUGACAAAUUUUAAUAUAAAAUUUAUACAGUAAUAAAAAAUUAAAAAUUAUUCCACCUUUAUUGAACAAAAUUCGCCGUUUGGGGCCAGCAGAGUUCCCUGCGGAAGAGGCCAAGUAUAUUUAUCCUAUUUGAAUUAAUACAACUGAAAUUAAACCGCGUGUAUAAAUUGUUCAAAGACUAUAUAUAGUGAAUGCACCACGCUACAGUCGCUACUACGCUGCAGAGGUGCUUGUUUCGAAAUAUAUAUUUUACUAAAAUAUUUGAACGAGGCAUUAAAACUAUGGCAAGUGGUGACCAGCCAAAGGACAUUCUUGGAUUUGAAGUAAAAGAUAUUGACGGCAAUCCAGUUUCAUUAUCAAAAUACAAAGGAUUUGUAUCCUUGGUUGUCAACGUUGCUUCCAAAUGAGGUUUCACAAACUCAAACUAUGCUCAGCUACAACAACUGCACACAAAGUG